AGGAGGAACAACCACAGUGGCGGAGGCCAGCUCUGGAGCCCUGGAUUCAGCUCCUGCAGUAGCUACAGAGUUACGAAGCUCUCAGUCUGCAGGUGCCUGGAUGCUCCGGGGGCGG
rnacentral:pre_miRNA from 1 species